rnacentral:rRNA from 1 species
CGCCGCGUGAGUGAUGAAGGUUUUCGGAUCGUAAAGCUCUGUUGUUAGGGAAGAACAAGUGCCGUUCAAAUAGGGCGGCACCUUGACGGUACCUAACCAGAAAGCCACGGCUAACUACGUGCCAGCAGCCGCGGUAAUACGUAGGUGGCAAGCGUUGUCCGGAAUUAUUGGGCGUAAAGGGCUCGCAGGCGGUUUCUUAAGUCUGAUGUGAAAGCCCCCGGCUCAACCGGGGAGGGUCAUUGGAAACUGGGGAACUUGAGUGCAGAAAAGGAGAGUGGAAUUCCACGUGUAGCGGUGAAAUGCGUAAAGAUGUGGAGGAACACCAGUGGCGAAGGCGACUCUCUGGUCUGUAACUGACGCUGAGGAGCGAAAGCGUGGGGAGCGAACAGGAUUAGAUACCCUGGUAGUCCACGCCGUAAACGAUGAGUGCUAAGUGUUAGGGGGUUUCCGCCCCUUAGUGCUGCAGCUAACGCAUUAAGCACUCCGC